AAAAAUGCAAAAUCUCUUUUUUUGGAUUUUUGAUUUAUAACCCAUUUUUUCAAAUACAAAAUAGGAAGUACAAUAACAAAAGACUCGACAAACUUACUAGACUAUGACAGACUUCAACAUCCCUUAAAAGAUUAGAUAUUACUGUACAGAACUAGAAGGUAAAACACGACAUAAAAAGAAAAACAGACCCAAAACAUAAAAAAUAAAAAAUAAAAAAAAUCUCCUUAAGCAACUCCUGAAUGAGCGAUCUUGACUGGAUAGUCCUAAGGCGUCUGUCAUGCCCAAACUCCGGUAAGUAGAUCCACAUCUGUAUGCGAAAAUUAGACCAAAUAAAGUUAUAGACCUAGAACACUAUGUGAGACAAUAACACUUCAUGUUUGACACAUGCAAGACAUGAUUGAGGCUAUUUUGGCAAAACGGCCUGCAUGGCCCAAAAGUGGCUAGACAUGCAAGAUUUGGCUAAGACCCCGAGAAGACAAGAACCUAAGACUCACUAGGAAGACCGGACCCUAUGUGGGCUGCUUACGUAUCCCACCCCGAAAGACGAGAAUCAGGUAUGCGUAGUUCGGGCGGAUUAGAUAUGGUCGAGAAUUAAAAAACAACUAAUUUAGUGAACACAUAUUUUUGUUUUUUUAAAAAAAAUGAUGGGAAAGUUCAAAAUCUUUUUGGAUUUUUUCAAAAAUAAAAUUUCGUCUUUUUUUUCUUUUUCUUAAAAAAUGUGAAAGAAAAACAUAAUUGUGCCCUACUUGCUUUAUUUUUACACUUCACCCUUUUUUCUUUCUCAUUUACCCUCAACUAUCAUUGGUCCGCCAACUAACCCUUUUACCCUUGAAGAAAUGCAACAUGCAGCACAUAGGAUGCAUCAGGAUGGUCUUUUAUUUUUGGGUACACCUGUCCUAGACAGACCCAACCCCUGUGUUAAGUCCCCAAAGUCAAAUGCACGUGAUGCAAACAAGCGUUCCUACUAGGGAUCCGGCAUGAGGUUAUGUUAUUCUAAGUUUAAAUCUAGGGUUGUGUUCUUGACCUGGCUUAUCCGAGCAGACAACUCGAGUCGAAGAGGGGGAAACGUACCGGGAGUACGAAAGUCUACCCGGCCUUGUUGCUGGCCCAGCCUCGUUCUAUUUGGUAUAACUUCUAACAGAAAAAGUGGGCCACACAAACGUGUGCACCAUAUUAGAAGACUCAGAGUGGUGGCGUAAGAAGACAGUUAAAUACAGUGCAAAUAAUAUCAAAGUAUUAAAUAAACAGCAAUUAGCACAUUAGCUCCAAAAAAAUACAGUAAUAUCAACAAUAAAUAAAGCUAAGUAAAAUCAUGUUAACAAGCUCGAAUUCUUGAAUCCUGAACCAGAAGUUCUGGGUUCUUGACCCUGUCAGAGUUGUCACACCUCCUUUUUCCUACCCCGAAAGGGUAUAUAAGAGUGUUCUUUUUUCAAUUUAAGUGACAAUCGAAACGGGAUUAUUUAUAUUAAAUCAGAGUCUCCAGUUGAGAUAAUUCAUGGUGUCCCAAGUCACCGAUUUAAAACCUGGAUCGAGGAAGUUGACUCUUAUUUAUGGUCUGCGAACACAGAAAUUCGGGUAAGGAAUUCUGUUAACCCAUGAGAAGGUGUUAGGUUCUUCAGGAUUCCGUGGUUUUAGCACAGUCGUUUUGAUUGUACUUGGCUUAAUCAAAUUGUCUAAUUACUCAUUUUUUGAACCUAUGUGCAUUUGCCUCUUUUAAUUAAGAAAUUAUCUUAAAACAGGUCACGCGCACGUGUACCCAUUUGUUUGGCACAUAAAAAAUCAUGUCACGCGAACGUGUCCACAAUUAAUCACGUUCUAUUAAUAUUAAGAAAUUUUUGGUCAAUGUUGUGCGAAAGCAUACUCCGAUUUUGUUUUUAGAAUCGUAAUCAUGUCACACGAACGUGUACUCGAUCACGAUCAUAUAUGCUAGUUAUUCACACUUAGAAAUGUUUAACACUCACUACUCUAUCUGUUGAGCUAUUUUUAUAUCCAUUAAUUUGUAAAAGAUGGUUUAACUUAUAACUUGUUUACCCUAAUGGUUUGCUGUUAAAGUUAUUAAUCUAGUUUCUCGCAAAUUUCAGCAAAACCAAACUUUAAACUCACUUAAAACCCCAAUUAAAAUAUCAAAAAUAGAAGGGUUCGAACUACAAAGACGAUGUGUAUCCAUAAAAGAUUUAAAAACAGAAUUUGGCGUAACACCCAUGUUAGAUAAAUGCCUCAAAAUUUACUUAAUAUUGUCAUGCCAUCAAAUAAUUACACAAAAUCGAUUUAACACAGUCAAUAAAUGAAACAAGCGAUGAAUAGGAGAAAAAGAGUGACCUGAAUUACUUUCAAUUUUUCAAAGAAACCUGCUGCCCGUUUACAAAGAAACUCAUGCCGAUAAAGCUAGACACGGACAGACCCGACCGGAAACCUCAACGAAACAACCUCGGACUCCGACAGUAUCUCAAUCACGAUUUCAAAACAAAUUGAAUGGACAAUAUCUGAAAUAAGCCAAGCGAAGCUUGAAACCAGAUUCAAGUUCCUCUCAUGCUCACAAAAGCUCCACUGGUUCGCUGUUGUCCCUUUCCCGUUUCUGUGCGUGCGUGUGGCUAUGUGUGAGUGUUUUCCGGUGAGCUAUGGUAAAGAGAAGGAGGAGCAGCGAUAGGUUUUAGAGAAUGGUCGAGAUUCGGCCGACUGCUUAAGGUCGUUCGCGUUUUUCGGGCGAGUUGGUGAGAUCGAGUGAAAAAGAAUGGUCGUUGCUGUUGUUAUGGUCGUCGGCGUGGUGGUCACUGGUUAAUGUUGCUGAAGCUUAGGGGUGUUCAUGGAGUUGUGCGGCUAUCCCUUAUUUGUGAAGAAGAUGAUGAGGGGUUCCUUUUGUUUUUUGUUUGUUCGCUGCUCAAGAUCGGGUCUCGAGAAGAUGAAGCUCAACGGCUGCUUAUGGUUUGUAGGGGAAGAAGAAAUAACACUAGAGGGGGUCGUGUGUUUAUGGCUGCUGCGGCAACUUCUAGGUCUCUAGGGUUCUUUUGUGUUCUCCCCAAUGAAGAAGAAGGGUGGUAACGGGUCCUAGGUCUCAAAAACGGCUAAAGGGUCUAUUAUUUUGUGUAUUUUCAGCUGAUGCUUAAGGGUCUAGG
rnacentral:lncRNA from 1 species